CAGAGGUGGAGAUGAGCUCAAACUGUUAGUGGUCAAACCAUGGGAAGGGAGCAAAGAGCAAGGCCAGAAACAUGGGUAUGCAGAUACCAUGCAUCCUCUCUUGGGAGAAGACCAAGAAAGCCACAGGGAUAAUCUGGCUUAUUGAAGUAACGUAGCGAUAUUUUUCCUUACAACCCGUCUUCUUGCCUAAUGAAGCAACUGGCAUUAGUUUUUCUGUGGCGUCAACCUUAUGUGUCGAGAAUGCAGAUCCAAGACCUUGCUGAGCGCGUACACCAUGCUCUGCAUCCCACAUUAGCAACCAGCCGUGGGCUCUUGCUCAUGUGAGACAGAACAACUACUCAGGGCCAAGGCCGUGGAGGCUCCAAAUUUUUAUUCAACUCACAGGAAACUUCUUUGAGCAUAUUCUUCUAAUUAUAUCUUUUAUCCUUAUAGCAUUUACUUUAUCAAACCAGCUAAGUUGAUGCAUAUUCUUCGAGCAUACCUAUACAUUACAAAUAUUGUGCUUUCUUUGACAGCAUAUGUCUAUUCUACGCUCUCUUCAGCAAGAAAUCAUGCACUGUAUCCAAGAAUUUGUUCUUCCUAAGGCUGAGUACCAUCUUUGAGUUAUGUGAAGAUGCCAAAGUUUGCAUGAGUGUAUGUCGUUGUGUGAAAGGGCAAUUUGCUUUCCUCUGAACUUAAAUUGACACUGCAAUAUAUAGUGUAUUUCAACCAUGUCGUCUUAAUGAUUUUUUACUUUAGAUUGAUAUACCUUAGUGUUUUAAAUUUACCAAAUGAUACUCACACUGCUUUUGGCCGCUAUUUUAUAAGCCGUAGAUUGGUCUGAGUUCCACGGGAUCAUGCGCUAAGGCGCACAACUAAAUCUCUUGUCAUUUAACAGCACAAUACAGCCAAUAGUCUGGUUCCUUUUACUAAUAAAGUUUUUUUCAAAAUGCAGUGAUAAUGGAUUUGUUCUUUUUUGGUGCAUAUAUAUAUUUUGAGAUGCUUCAGACAUUUUACUUCUACCUGCGUACAUAUAAAUUGCAGUAUGCUCAUAAAUCAUUUGUUUUAGAGAAACCAAAUUUCAGCAUAUGCACAAUUCAGGUUAGUCGGUGUAUUUUUCUUAUGUUAACAUUCAGGUUAGCCAAUCCUCAUAAAUUAUUUAACGGUGCCAUAUUAACCAUGUUCGGGUACAACUGUUGAAGAUCGAUCAUAGGGCGAUCAUAGGGGUAGGUGCCCCAUAAUUUGUUUAUAAUAUACUGCCAGAAUUUUUUGCUUAGCCUCUUGGGUGUAAUGCGGUAGUCCAUCAUGUUGAAUAAUUUUUAUUUGGUUGGUUCUGAGCCUUGGUGACACUCUUGCAUUAUAGAACCUUGUAUCCUCAUCCCCUAGAACGUGCCAGUUUACCUUGCCACAUUGUCUUGCUUUGGUAGCAAUAGACUAAACUGAACCUUCAAUUUUUUGCUUAACCACAUAUCCCUGAAGAAGCCCUCUAAUUUCGUUAGGGGUUUACCUUCCUCGAGACAGCCUAUAAAAGGCCCCCAAGGUAAAUUUGUUUGCAUCCAAAAUGUUUCCGUCAGGUUUUUCAGAAUUUUCCUCCAC